rnacentral:lncRNA from 1 species
ACAAAUUAAAUUUGUUAAAUUAUCCAGCAAACUAAAAUGGUUAACAAGAAGAAAUACAAAUUCAGGUCUGGAAUUGAUGUUUAAAAAAGGCAACUGCUUAAGCUUUUCUAUGGAACAUCUAUCUCUCAGCCACUCGGCUUCAUGCCAUUCAUCAUCUGGCAGGCUCUCUCAGCCACCUCUGGCGACUCAAACUUAACCACAGGGCACCCCUUGGACUUCCCAUUCUCCAUCUUGAUGUCGGUGUUCAGCACGUGGCCACAUUCGUUGAGUUUGUCCUUUAGCAUCUUCCGUGUAAAAUCAAAUCCUAUGCCUUCCAUUCCCAUUCCUGCAAGCCCUAUGUUUCCCAUUCCAAUGCCUUUGUUCAGGUGAUUGGCAUCAACAGGCUGCCCUCCUGGUCCUAAUCCCAUGCCAAUACCACCAAGUCCAUGGGGAAGUUGCUGUGGACAUUCAGGAGGGAAAAAGUCUCCCUUUGGUAAGGCCCUCUCAUCCAUUUUGACUGCAUUGGUCUAGCAAAUAGCAGUUUCGGGGCUAGGGUUGUGGCUCAGU